GGGCGCGGGCGGCAGCAGCGGUGGCGGUUCGGGCGGAUCCCUGUUACAGUUACGUACUGACGAAAUACUUUGAAACCAACCAUGUCAUUGUAAGCUUAGGUAAGUACUUAAGUAGAUGUGACUAUUUUUUUCUUUAAAUAUAUAAUCCAAAAUAUGUAAGGUUUAAUUUAUUAUUUUUUUUUUUUUUUAAUAAAAAGGUACAAAUGUCAUUCUGAACAUCAGUGCUGACAAAGUUCCUAACUGGUGAUGAAAGUAUUCCACCUGGAGAACAUCCAUUCCCUCCCCCUUUUGCAUACUCAGAAUUCCCAAAAUGGAAAGGACCAGAUGUGUGGCUCCUGUGGCAUCCUACCCAUUUUCCAUUUCAGGACUGUUCAAUGUUUUUUGCAGCUUAUUCUGUCCACAGUCACCAUGUAAAACCAUUUAAUAUUAAAGUCUUGCAGUCGCAGGUUUUAUCACAGGUAUCCUGGAAUCUAGGGAUGAAAAAAAAAUAGUAGUAAACUGUAUAUAUGGACAGCUAGAAUAUUAAAAGCAUCAUUCCAUAAAAUUCCUUAUUCUCCAUAAUGCUUUUUAUUUAAAACUAGGUAACAGCAAAAAAAGGUUUAAAAAAAGACAAGAUGUGGUCAUUUAUGCAAGCAAAAACAUGUAACUGGCUUACUUCCACUCAGAGCUCAUGAACACUUUUAUUGCAUCUACCAUAAUGAAUCACCAGAAGUGACAUGUGAUUUUUCUUAGGAGUUAACUAUGAUUUUCUCUCCCAAGUACCCUAUUUACCCACAUUCAAGAUAACUUUGAAUUUAAGAUGACCCCCCAAUAAUUAGAUUCUAUACACAGAAAAUUUAUAAGUGUGGUAUAAUUCUCUCUCAAAUUUGCCAUACAUUUUUCCCCAGAAAGCAGCAGUGGGGGUGAAAGGGACAAGACCCAAGAGGCAGGGGACUUGCCCCUUUCCUGACCCUCUCACGCCUUGCCUCUCCCCCAGUACCUGUGUCUGCCAAGUGCCUGCCCCCCACCACCAUCUCCCGGUUAAAUUCUUCUGUUGCAAAGAACCCAGAAGGACCCAGCGGGGUCAGAAUGUGUUUGACCCUGUGGAUUCCUCAUUGAAAUCUCUGUGUUUAUCUGCAAGUUGUAAAGCAUGUAUAAGUGCUUGUACGAUGUAGCACCCUGACUGAGAAUCACUAUGUUAGUCUUAUAGCAGUAAAAGACCAUGCUUACCUAA